UACGGAGGGUGCGAGCGUUGUCCGGAAUCACUGGGCGUAAAGGGCGCGUAGGCGGCUGGGGAAGUCGGCGGUGAAAGCCCGGAGCUCAACUCCGGGUCGGCCGUCGAGACUCCUCGGCUCGAGCUCUCUAGAGGCAGAUGGAAUUCCGGGUGUAGCGGUGGAAUGCGUAGAGAUCCGGAAGAACACCGGUGGCGAAGGCGGCCUGCUGGGCAGUAGCUGACACUGAGGCGCGACAGCGUGGGGAGCAAACAGG
rnacentral:rRNA from 1 species